rnacentral:rRNA from 1 species
UACGUAGGGUGCAGGCGUUAAUCGGAAUUACUGGGCGUAAAGCGUGCGCAGGCGGUCUGCUAAGAGAGAUGUGAAAUCCCCGGGCUUAACCUGGGAACUGCGUUUCUAACUGGCAGGCUUGAGUGUGGCAGAGGGGGGUGGAAUUCCACGUGUAGCAGUGAAAUGCGUAGAUAUCUGGAGGAACACCGAUGGCGAAGGCAGCCCCCUGGGCUAACACUGACGCUGAUGCACGAAAGCGUGGGGAGCAAACAGG